rnacentral:lncRNA from 1 species
GGGAGGGGGCGAGGGGCAGCGGGCCGGAGGAGACGUGCCUUCACGGCCGCCGCCGCCGCCACCGCCGGGAAGGCAGCUGGCGCCGAGCAAGUUGCGAGCGCGCCUCUCCGCCCAGGGAAAGUUUCCCCCGCGGCCGCCGAAGGGAGUUGGCGCGGGGUCUGGCCGCUGCCGCUGGAAGAGUUUCUCCUGACGCCACCAUCAGAAAGAGAGCUCAAGAAAAUAUUGACACCCCUGAAAGGAAGAAACACCAGUUGAAAGAGGUGGGCAUCUGCGGGACAGCCCCAAGCUUGCAGGGACCAGACCUCCGACCCCGUCAUCGAAGCAACGGGGACCCUUUGAAUUGGAACUAAAAACGACAAGCUGGGCCAGUAAGGAAAUAUCCAGGAACCCCUCUGACCAGGAGACUCCAUCCUGCUGACAUCGAAAGAACUGCCCAGGUGGAGCACCAUGGAAGGCGACUGUCUGAGCUGCAUGAAGUAUCUGAUGUUUGUCUUCAAUUUCUUCAUAUUUCAGCACUGACAGCAAGGAGGAUAUAAAAGUGAGCGGCAGAGAAGCUCUGCAGGACAUGGUUCUCCGCAGCCCGAGGUGGGGUGUGGGUCAGAGACUGGAUUUAGAGGGUGCGUGAUGCGCCUCCGGCAGGCUGGGCGGGGCCUGCCUGCUGGGCGUGGGCAUCUGGGUCAUGGUCGACCCCACCGGCUUCCGCGAGAUCGUGGCCGCCAACCCCCUGCUCAUCACGGGUGCCUACAUCCUCCUGGCCAUGGGGGGCCUGCUUUUCCUGCUCGGCUUCCUGGGCUGCUGCGGGGCCGUCCGGGAGAACAAGUGUCUGCUGCUGUUUUUCUUCCUGUUCAUCCUGAUCAUCUUCUUAGCGGAGCUGUCGGCGGCCAUCCUGGCCUUCAUCUUCAGGGAAAAUCUCACCCGUGAAUUCUUCACCAAGGAGCUCACCAAGCACUACCAGGGCAACAAUGACACAGAUGUCUUCUCUGCCACCUGGAACUCCGUCAUGAUCACAUUUGGUUGCUGUGGGGUCAAUGGGCCUGAAGACUUUAAGUUUGCAUCAGUUUUCCGACUCCUGACUUUGGACAGUGACGAGGUGCCUGAGGCCUGCUGCCGGAGAGAACCCCAGAGUCGGGAUGGGGUCCUGCUGAGCAGGGAGGAGUGCCUCCUGGGACGGGAACUGUUCCUGAACAAGCAGGGCUGCUACACGGUGAUCCUCAACGCCUUCGAAACCUAUGUCUACCUGGCUGGAGCCCUCGCCAUAGGGGUGCUGGCCAUCGAGCUUUUUGCCAUGAUCUUUGCCAUGUGCCUCUUCCGGGGCAUCCAGUAGAGGGUGUGGCCUGCAGCCUGAAGACUCACCCCGCCUACCACAGCCCAGCACCCAAUGCCCUCCCCUUCCCCGCACCCCUGCCUUCUUGGCCCCCCCUGGGGGGAGGAGGUGAGGCCAUCGUGAGUGGCCAGGAGAAGGGCCGGGGGGAAAUAGCUAUUUUUUUAACAGAACAAAAUGAAGACAAAAAUAUGGACUGAUGUAGCCCGUCUGGACUCCAGAGUGGGCGCCACGGGCUCUGCGCAGGGGCCUGGCACCUGAACCCGGGAUGCAGUCUGGACUAGAGACCAAAGCAACACGAGGGCCAGGCCCUGCCCUUGGCCCACAGCCCCAGGCCUGGGCCCUCGACUCAUAACUUCAGGACCUGGUGCCAAGAAAAUAAGGAUUUAGGCAAGAAGGAGGCGAAAGGAAAUUUGUGGAGAGAGGUUGCCAAACCCCAGCGACCCCAAGGAGGCCCUGGUCCUCCAGGGAUGGAAUUGUCCCUGCCUCAGGCUGGGGCCAAGAGUGGGCUGCAGACACUGGAUCCAAGAAUGGCCCAGCUGGUAGGGUCCCUGCUUCCCCAUCUGUUGGGCCAGAUAAUCUGGAGCACCCAGAGAGGGCCAGUUUCUUAUCCACACUCACACAGCACAUGCACGACAGUUCUGACCAAGAACCUGUCAUCCGCAGGCUGCCUGUCCCUCCUUCCAAGACUCUGUCGGUCCCAGCAGGCAUGCUGCUCCCACCCCUCUCUGGCCUCCGUGCCCUGGUUUCCGCAGAAGAGAGAGGGCAGGCUGGUCAGCAACUGCCUCUUCCUGGCUCCAUGGCGAAGACAGUUCUGGAUUCUGCCCUCCCUCCCACCUCCCCACGCUUUCUGUCAGUCCCAGGAACACACCCAUGUACACACAUCACAGCCUCUUUUUUCACACCGCCCCCCCUCUCCCUGUUCUCCACUGACUCCCCGGCUCCCAGGACUGGAAGGAACCCCCAAGGUCAUCUGGUUCUCCUCUCCCCACUCAGAAUUGCAGCAUGGAUGUCUUCCGCAAGAUCCCCUCCAAGACUUCUCCGCCUUCUUCUUGCACAUCUCCAAGGACAGGGAGCUCACUACCUCCCAAGACAGGUUUCUGCCUUUGGACUGCUCUGACUUGAGCAUCAGCUCGAUACACGGAAGAGGUUUCUUGUUUUCUGUGGCUCUGUCCAUGACAUCCCACGUGCUCGCUCUUCUUACCGAAAUGUUAAGGCCACACAUGGUCCCCCCUGAGCCCCAUCAUCUCCAGGUCAGAGAACCCCGGGGCCUCUCAUCCUUUCUGCUGUGUCAUGGUUUCCUGUGCUUUCACUGUCCUUAGCACAUUUCUGAGUGCCCCCUCCAAGAUCUGGCAGGGAGAGGUUUCCCCAC